GAUCGUGAGGACUGCUGGAGCGCUUAGAAGUGAGAAUGCCGGUAUGAGUAGCGAAAGACAGGUGAGAAUCCUGUCCACCGAAUGACUAAGGUUUCCUGGGGAAGGCUCGUCCGCCCAGGGUUAGUCGGGACCUAAGCCGAGGCCGACAGGCGUAGGCGAUGGACAACAGGUUGAUAUUCCUGUACUCGUUGUUUUUGUUUGAGCAAUGGAGGGACGCAGGAGGCUAAGGAAUGCAGACGAUUGGAAAUGUCUGUCUAAGCAGUAAGUCUUGAUAGGAGUCAAAUGCUUCUAUCUGUACGGAUAAGCUGUGAUGGGGAGGGAAAUAAUAGUACCGAAGUUCCUGAUGUCACACUGCCGAGAAAAGCUUCUAGUGAGAAAACAACGACCCGUACCGCAAACCGACACAGGUAGUCGAGGAGAGAAUCCUAAGGUGAGCGAGAGAACUCUCGUUAAGGAACUCGGCAAA
rnacentral:rRNA from 1 species